GUACAGAGCAGUGGAGCGGAACUAUUUUUAUAUGCGGUUUUCUGGUUGGCGGGACAAAGGAGCUCCAAUAAUUAACCAUUUUUACUUAAACUAUAGCCAUAAGCGAAUCAAUGCAUUUGGUGGAGGUGGGGUACGACAGAGGAUAUGCAUCGCACUUUUUAUAAGGUUGUAGUUUACGAUGCACUAUAUAUAAUAACGCACCAAAGCGGAA